GCUGUCGACCAUACCACCCUGAACGCGCCCGAUCUCGUCUGAUCUCGGAAGCUUAAGCAGGGUCGGGCCUGGUUAGUACUUGGAUGGGAGACCCCCACAAUUUUAUUCUCAUCU
ensembl:rRNA 5S_rRNA 5S ribosomal RNA